AUUGAACGCUGGCGGCAGGCCUAACACAUGCAAGUCGAGCGAGCGGCGGACGGGUGAGUAAUGUAUGGGGACUGCCCGAUCGAGGGGGAUAACUACUGGAAACGGUAGCUGAUACCGCAUACUAUCGGAUAACCCAUAUGGGAUUAGCUAGUAGGUGGGGUAAUGGCUCACCUAGGCGACGAGCCCUAGCUGGUCUGCGAGGAUGAUCAGCCAAACUGGGACUGGGACACGGACCAGACGCCUACGGAGGCAGCAGUGGGGAAUAUUGCACAAGGGGAGCAAGCCUGAUGCAGCCAUGCCGCGUGUAUGAAGAAGGCCCUAGGGUUGGAAAGUACUUUCAGUCGGGAGGCGUUACCGACAGAAGAAGCACCGGCUAACUCCGUGCCAGCAGCCGCGGUAAUAC
rnacentral:rRNA from 1 species